CAGUCGCCACGGUAAUACGUAGGUGGCAAGCGUUGUCCGGAAUUAUUGGGCGUAAAGGGCUCGCAGGCGGUUUCUUAAGUCUGAUGUGAAAGCCCCCGGCUCAACCGGGGAGGGUCAUUGGAAACUGGGAAACUUGAGUGCAGAAGAGGAGAGUGGAAUUCCACGUGUAGCGGUGAAAUGCGUAGAGAUGAGGAGGAACACCAGUGGCGUAGGCGACUCUCUGGUCUGUAACUGACGCUGAGGAGCGAAAGCGUGGGGAGCGAACAGGAUUAGAGACCCGUGUAGUCCCUGUCUCUUAUAC
rnacentral:rRNA from 1 species